AAGGGCAAAAUCGGAUGUCUCAACGACUAUGGCGGCUCUUCAGAUUGUCUGUUGAGUCCACCUAAGACCCAAUCUAGGUCGGUUUCUGCCGGAAGCUAUGGAGAUUUUCCGGCUGCUAAUCUCGUUCUACUUGACAGUAACACCAUCAAUUUUGAGUUGGAAGGUCUUUCACCGCCAAAGGGAAAGAGAAAUCACUACUUGAACAUAGAAGAUGAAUCUGCAGAAAAGCAGUUGGCAAUUUACAAUGACGAAAUAGAGUCGCCAUUAGAGAAGUUGAACGAACUUAUCCUAUGCAACUCGUAAGAACCCAGGAAGCUCCGGAUCACCGGAAUCGAUCUCCCCAGCCGGGGUUCAAGCCGGCGGAGAGAGUGGAGGCGCCCGGAGCGACAUCGUCCUAGGUUUAAUCAAGCAAAUCCGCCCCGACAUCUUCAUCCACGGCGUCGGCAACGGCACGUACAACUCCCAAUUCUUCACGACGCGGUUCCGGGAGGCCGUCUUACACUGUAACACCCCGAGGAAAUUGAAGUAAAAAACAAAGAGGUGGAAGAAGAGAACGGUGCCGUUUUACUGCAAUUGAGAGUUGUUGGGCUGAGAUCCAAACAAUGCCAUUUCAACUUAGAUAUUUUACUGUGCUUCUGUUUUGCUUGUUAGAGGUUGUUAGAAGUCUAGAUUUUAGAUAAAUAGCAGACAUAGAUGGUAAUUGGUAGGGAGGUAUGUGGAUUUUGAUAUUGAAAACACUCUCUAAUGGGGUGUUUGGUUGGAUGUAAUUGUAAUUCUUUUCCUACCUUAUUCAAUGACA